rnacentral:rRNA from 1 species
UGGAUCCAGACUUUGAUUCUGGCUCAGGACGAACGCUGGCGGCGCGCCUAACACAUGCAAGUCGAACGGAGAUUACAGGCGGAAGUUUUCGGGUGGAAGCUUGUAAACUUAGUGGCGGACGGGUGAGUAACACGUGAGCAACCUGCCUAUCAGAGGGGGAUAACGAUUGGAAACGAUCGCUAAUACCGCAUGACAUAGCGGAACCGCAUGGUUCUGUUAUCAAAGAUUUUAUCGCUGAUAGAUGGGCUCGCGUCCGAUUAGAUAGUUGGUGGGGUAACGGCCUACCAAGUCGACGAUCGGUAGCCGGACUGAGAGGUCGAACGGCCACAUUGGGACUGAGACACGGCCCAGACUCCUACGGGAGGCAGCAGUGGGGGAUAUUGCACAAUGGGGGAAACCCUGAUGCAGCGACGCCGCGUGAGGGAAGACGGUCCUCUGGGUUGUAAACCUCUGUCUUCGGGGACGAAACGAGACGGUACCCGAGGAGGAAGCCACGGCUAACUACGUGCCAGCAGCCGCGGUAAUACGUAGGUGGCAAGCGUUGUCCGGAAUUACUGGGUGUAAAGGGAGCGUAGGCGGGCAGGCAAGUCAGGCGUGAAAUAUAUCGGCUCAACCGGUAACGGCGCUUGAAACUGCAGGUCUUGAGUGAAGUAGAGGUUGGCGGAAUUCCUAGUGUGGCGGUGAAAUGCGUAGAUAUUAGGAGGAACACCAGUGGCGAAGGCGGCCAACUGGGCUUUUACUGACGCUGAGGCUCGAAAGUGUGGGGAGCAAACAGGAUUAGAUACCCUGGUAGUCCACACCGUAAACGAUGAUUACUAGGUGUGGGGGGACUGACCCCUUCCGUGCCGGAGUUAAUACAAUAAGUAAUCCACCUGGGGAGUACGGCCGCAAGGUUGCAACUCAAAUGAAUUGACGGA